rnacentral:misc_RNA from 1 species
GAUGAAGAACGCAGCGAACUGCGAUAAGUAAUGUGAAUUGCAGAAUUCAGUGAAUCAUCGAGUCUUUGAACGCCCAUUGCGCCCCCUGGUAUUCCGGGGGGCAUGCCUGUCCGAGCGUCAUUGCUGCCCUCAAGCCCGGCUUGUGUGUUGGGUCUCGUCCCCCUUCCCGGGGGGACGGGCCCGAAAGGCAGCGGCGGCACCGCGUCCGGUCCUCGAGCGUAUGGGGCUUUGUCACCCGCUCUGUAGGCCCGGCCGGCGCUUGCCGAUCAACCAAAACUUUUUUCCAGGUUGACCUCGGAUCAGGUAGGGAUACCCGCUGAACUUAAGCAUAUCAAUAAGCGGAGGA